AUGACAUAUUAUUACACUCCCACGAGUUAAUAUGACGUUCCCAAAAAAUAAAUAUCUUGUGGCCACAACGUAUUAUCACGUUUCCACGAGUUAAUAUGUUGUGGCCACGACAAAACUAGCCUUAGUUUCUAACUAACUAUAGCUGUGUCUCAUUUAGAAGGGUGCGCCCUCCGGAGGUCGCAUUCAAAGGCUGCAUAUGUCAUCGAGGCAGUCUCAUUUAAAAAAAGCAAGUAGGACACUCCGAAUGUGACCUUCGAAUGCGCCCUUCUUUCACAGCAAUUCGGAGGAUGCAUGAGGUGUAUCCUUCACUGCUACAUAUAACCCACAAUAGGGCUUGGGCGCCGCGUUGCAUUCUGGGAUGUGGAGGCCAUGUUGAUGGCUUCGUGAAUGUAAACAUACAGCAAGUCGAACGAGAAGAAACAGAGUUGGGAGAAAGAAAAAAUAUGUUAAAAUCGCGAAAAGGUUGUGGGAUUUACAGGGAUACGCUAAGUAGGGAUGCCAGGGAUCGAUAUCUUCGGCUACCUUGUUUGUUUUGUGAGCGCCUACACUUCAGAACAGUUCCGAAGCUACAAGUCAUUGGAGUCUCAUGUGCAGUUCACAAAUGGAUGGGUUAAGGAGCUGCAGAUCAUAAAGCCGGCAAACAGUAUACAGUAAUCCGGACAAAGGUAAACUGCACUCCGCCUAGUUGCUAGUUUAGUAACCGUUAGUGCUAACAACCAUUCACAUGUACUUUUAACUAACUUAUGUGUUUCAAAAGUUUAGUUAGUAGCUGUCAACCCUCCCGUUUUUUUCCGGGGUUCUCAUGUAUUUGAGCUCUUUUCCCGCUGUCUUCCCGUUGUAGUAUUUUCCUGUAAAAUAUCCCGUUAGCCCUUCCAUCGGACCUGUCAGUCUCUGUGCUGUUGUCCUGUUGCUACACAGUUGCCCUUCCAGCAAAACAGAUAUUUUCAAACCAUCGUUUUGCUUAACGUUACUUGAAAGCAACCUUAGCGUGAUAUUGGCCUUUUUAAGAUAACAGCGUGGUUGUUGUGAGAGCACGAUUUCACACCAAUGUAAGCAAAGUCACGUUAGACAUAGCUUCACAAUCUCGCUUAGUUAAUGCAGCAGUUUUGUAGUACGAAUUUUUGCUGUCAGCAGAGGGAUAGCAACAGAAAGAUGAAUGUAGAAAUUUUCCCGUAUUUUGGAUGAGUAACCCAGGAAAUUUCCCUUAUUUUCAGUGUUUACUUAAGCUAUAUAAAUUAAUAUUCAGAUAUUAUACCUCACUUGGUCUCCGUGGUCGUGCCUCCAAGCAGGAAAGCAGUGGAAAGUUAAUCCAUUUUUUUUCAAAGGGCGAUUAUGUGUUGCGCUAUUACACCCCACAAUACAGCAACGGUUUACCAUGGUUGAAAUAGAUUUUUAAUUUAUCAAAUUAAGACACACGGCUGAGAGGGAGUAUGUCUAAACACUGCGCAGUAGUCCGAGUAGCAGUAAAGAAGGCCAUCAACAUGGCGGCCACGCCAAGUAAUGACGUCACGACGCCCAAGCCCUAUUCUUUGCGUCUCCGUAAACAACUGUCUUUAAUUUGAAAAAUGCCGGUGUCAGCAGAUGUAAACACGAGCGUAGAUGUGAUGUUUACAACUUAACGUAACGUUACCUUAAAUCGCCUAAGAUAAAAACGGAUGAAAUUUUCCUAAAUAUCCUUCUCAUUUUUCUCUAACUGAUGUCUUUUGUACAUAUGCUGUAGCUCCUCAAAAGUUGAACAAAAUAAAACAAGUUAAAGCAUUUUUUUUAAUUACUUU
ensembl:lncRNA